rnacentral:rRNA from 1 species
UACGUAGGGGGCAAGCGUUGUCCGGAUUUAUUGGGCGUAAAGAGCGUGUAGGCGGCCAGGUAGGUCUGCUGUGAAAACUCGAGGCUUAACCUCGAGAUGUCGGCGGAAACCAUCUGGCUAGAGUCCGGAAGAGGAGAGCGGAAUUCCUGGUGUAGCGGUGAAAUGCGCAGAUAUCAGGAAGAACACCCGUGGCGAAGGCGGCUCUCUGGAACGCAACUGACGCUGAGACGCGAAAGCGUGGGGAGCAAACAGG